rnacentral:lncRNA from 1 species
UCUUAGGAGAACUGCAAGGGAGAUUGAAAUUUUAUUUAAGGUACGUAGACGAUAUUAUUGCAGUUUGGAAGGAAGGACAGGACCUGAAGAUUUAAGAACAACAGCUGACAAUGAGACUGUAUGGGUUAGUCUUAAAUCAGCAACAGGUGAGUCAAGAGUCGGCCCAUUUUCUCGAUAUAAAAAUCCCAGUAACGAAUAGAAGAUUAGACAUGGCAGUCUAUAGGAAACAAGCGUACAAGCCAGUUAUAAUACCGAGAUGGUUGCAAGACCUGAUAAGAUAUAAAAGAGCAGCGUUCGUUUACUAUUUUAAGAGGGCCAUCACCUACACCACUAGCCAACCAGAAUUGGAACAAGAGCUUAAGUAUAUUUAUGAUGUAGGCCAGAUGUACGGCUAUAACAGGCGAU